CCUACGGGAGGCAGCAGUGGGGAAUAUUGCACAAUGGGGGAAACCCUGAUGCAGCAACGCCGCGUGAGUGAUGACGGCCUUCGGGUUGUAAAGCUCUGUCUUCAGGGACGAGAAUGACGGUACCUGAGGAGGAAGCCACGGCGAACUACGUGCCAGCAGCCGCGGUAAGACGUAGGGGGCGAGCGUUGUCCGGAUUUACUGGGCGUAAAGGGAGCGUAGGCGGACUUUGAAGUGAGAUGUGAAAUCCUCGGGCUCAACUUGAGUGCUGCAUGUCAAACUGGAAGUCUAGAGUGCAGGAGAGGAUACUGGAAUUCCUCGUGUAGCGGUGAAAUGCGUAGAUAUUAGG
rnacentral:rRNA from 1 species